GAUCAGGUAGAUGGAUAUAAGGACAUCCUGAUGGAGGAUCACCGGACCCUCAUAUCACGAGAUAAGGAAGAGAUGAGAACACCGGAGAAAUGUCCCAGUCCUCUUCUUCUACAGGAUGUGUCAGAAGAACAUCACAGUGUCCCACAGGAUGAUCAGCUUGUGAAUCCGGGUGAAGAUCUGAACAAUAUUAAUCCUACAGAGACCUAUGUGAG